rnacentral:ncRNA from 2 species
AGGUGAGGUAGAGGCGCGAAACUUAAGAGUAAGUAGCUAGAGGGUGACACCUUUGAAGGCUACAGAAAGGGAGUUUUGCCGAAGUGACCAUUAACGUCAAACUAAUGGUUGCUGGGGCUACAUUAAAUAAAUGUAGCACUGUCACAAUCUUUUUAGCCCAUUGAUUGUGGAGAACUACUAAACUU